rnacentral:misc_RNA from 1 species
UCAUUAUAAAUUUUAUCCAAGUUGUGUAAUUGUUGAAACAAUAGGUCAAAUUUAAUAUAAUGAAUGAAAGUAUGUUUUGACGUUCCCAACCUGGCUGGCCCAAGAUUUACAGGAAUUAUGCCAAUGCCGUUUGUAAUAUCAACUAUGUUGAUUCCUCUGGUUGUGGUCCAGAAGAGGAGUGGGAAGAACCUGUUAUCAUCAUUAGAGUCUUUAUCAAUUAGGUUUUUUCGCUACAUAGAUUAUUUACUAUACUAAGAUACAAGUCAUCAAUAUCAUUUAAUUUAAGUAAAAUUUUAUCAAUCUUAAAAUAAUGUACAAAUGCGUGUUCUGACCUUUGCAUUCUAGCUUCCCACAGUUGGAUUGGUAUUAUCCCAGGAUUGGUUGUUAUGAUUUUAAUAUCAAUUCCAUUCAAAAGUCCAAAGUGUUGGAAGUACUUGGAACAUCAGGAUUGUAAGUCUGGUUUCUUGGUCUUUUAAUAUUUGAAAUGUGUAUUUUAUCCUGAGUAUUUUUGUGUGUAGGAACAAUUCUGGCUGCUUUUAGUUUAGUGUUUAUAGAUUUUAUUUUUGAUGGUUUAAAUUUUGUAAGUGUCUUACUUUGUUUUAGUUUGUUCUUAAUGUACACAGUGUCAGGUAUCUGUGGUUCUCGUGUUUCGUUCAAUUUUCCUAUAGUCCCCUGGUGCUUAUGAAGCUGUGUAAGCUCGAUAUAUAGCUAAUAUUUCUGCAACCCUUCCUAACACUUGGUCCGGUUCUAGUGCUUUCCUGAUGAUCUGGGGUCUCGAAGCACCCACACGAGUCACAUCUAAUAGAGAUAUCCCCUACAUCCCCAAUAGUCACUCCAUAAGUUGUCCAUUUUGUUUGUAAUUUCUCUUUAAAGAUUAUCUGUAUAGUCUCAUAUAAAAACUCUAAACUAGCAUUGAUGUUUAUGUCAGAUCCCCAGCUAUCUCCGACAAAUUUCAUUGUCUUCAUACGAGACUCCUAUUUGUGGGAUCAUGACUGAAGGUUUUUUACCUGGAUUGGCCUGGAACCAUUCUUUCGGAUAUUGAGGUUUUGAUUCUAAUGAUAUAUCUGGAAUAUGUCUGGAAAUAAAUUUACCUGGGGCUUUUUUAAUAUGAAUCUCAGUCUUAUCUUCUUGCUCUGUCUUAGCCAUUGCUGUAAAUAGAUAAUGAAAGCUUUUGAACUACUUUUCGCUGAACUUAUAUCUGUUAUUACAUCCUUAUUAAAAUCUAAUUUAAUAUUUAAUAUUUUCAUACUAUCUAGCCCGAAUAGCAUGUCGAAUUUAUUGUUGAAGUUGAAUAAGAAUAACUCUAAUGUCAAGAAUUUUCCUUUAAAAGUGUCGGUAUUAAGUUUAAUGCUAUGGCUGCCUUUACUAAUUCCAUGAACUGUUUUUACUUCGAAUGGUUUUUUUAUUAAGGGUGGCGAAAAUGGUGGAUGUGUGGGUAUCUGAACGGUCUAGGUGUAUAAGCUUUUGUGUUCCUUACCUGUCCAAAACUUUUGGAUCCUUGAGUGGAUUGGUGCUGAAAAUCAUUAGUAAGCAUAUUGAGCGCUUCAUUAAGAUCUGAGGGGUUUCUAGCUUGCAAAAGAGAACUCAUGGGCUCUCUUAAUCCCUUUAAUAAAAUCCAUAAACCUAAUUUCCUACAGAACUCACCCAGAGUGUCAGCAUUAUCCGGCAUUACAUUAUUGAGAUAACUAAUUUGUAAAUUUAAAAGUUUUUGAAUCUUUUCGAGAAAUUGAAACGGACUCUCGUUAGUUUGUUUUAAUUCCGAAAGUUUAAGGACUAGGGUGUAAAUGUCUCUCUUGUCUGAGUAACUGGUUAACAAUGCAUUUUUUAUUUCAGGCCAACUACUUGCGCCUGAGUUGAAGACUAUUUCCGCCGCCGAACCCUGAAUUUUCGAAUUGAUACUUGCUACUUGCUGAAAUAUUGGCGGAGCGUUUUUUAAACCAAAUGGCCUUCGUAGGAAUUGAAAAUGCCCUGCCUCGGUGGAAAAAGGUGUUUUAGGAACUGACUCUGGGUCCAUUUCAAUCUAAUGGAACCGUGAGGCGAGAUCUAUUGCAGAAAAAUAUGUUGCACGACCUAUUCUGGCAAAAAGAUCUUCAAUUUUUGAAGCAUCAGCCUUCUUAGGAACUAUACCAAUUGGAUUAUUAUAUAGGGCAUUAGAAUGUUGAAUUAUCUUGUUUUUUAAUAAUUUGUCUAUUUCUAUUUAUAGUUCUUUCUGAUACACUUGUGGGAAUCUAUACUUUUUCUGAAUAAAUGUGUUUUUCGUCAGUUGUUAAUAUUUCAUGUUUUAAUAUACUUGUUCCUCUUAUUAACUUCGGGAUAUCCUUUCAAUAAUAUUAAUUUUUUCUUGUGUUCUGCUCCAUUCUAAUUAAUGAGAGUAUGUCUUCCCUUACUUGACUCAAGUUUGAGCGUAUUGACAUUUCGGGGCAUUGGCCAUUACUAUGUCUUCUUCGCUCGUACGAGUGCUUUGCGUUUCGUCAAUGUCCAUGAGUCUAGGUAAACGGUCAUUGUGUGAAUUUGACGUAGCAAACUGCUUCGUUUUUUGUAUUAUUAUUUAUAUAUUUUUUUAUUUAAAUUUAAAAUUGAUUCAUUAUUCAAUUCUGGUUGCUCGAAUGUAAGUUUCAGUGGCAUCGAUCUACCAGGGUAAAAACGAAUAUUGUUACUUAAAUCUAUUUUUAUGUUGAAGUCGUGCAUAGUUCUAUACCAUAGCAAAACGUCAUAUUUGUCUGAAAAAGGAGAGAGGUGAAAUUUCGCUUUUACACGUUUUGAAAGAUUUCGUACAAACUUAGAUUUUUCUCCGUACUUUUUACCACUCGGUUUGGACUUAGGGUUCCUAGUUAAGGAAGUAAUAUUUGUAGGGUUGAGGUGGGUUGGUUCUGUAAGACUACUGAUCCCGUGGGACUCGUUCUAUAAACCCUUUUUUAGUCUUACUAUUUCGUAUCAAUUAUCACGACACUACGUCAUCACUGGGGGGGGGGUCUCACAAGGGCUCACUAUUUCGACGAAUCGCACAUUUUACCCAAAACCAAUGCCGUCUGUCGUUGAAUAAUCUGCAUGAUCUGCUCCGUUAGACAUCUAGCGACUGCCGAAUAAUUGCUCCUGCACCAUUAGUUCGGUGUUGGUAUUUUGUCUGGGACUAGAAUCGCAAUUCUUUUAUAUUUCGUCUGAAAAGUUUCCGUGAUCUCCAUCUCUUUUACUCGCUUCGAAGUUCAAGAUUUUCCCUCGAUCUGAACCCUCGCCAAUCCAAAAUUUCAAAUCGCCUCUAAUAAUAAUUAUUAUUGAAUAUUUAAAAACUCCGCCUUUAUUCUCCGUCAGCCUAUUCCACUUCUGAACUGUUAAUUAAUUCUAAAUAAUUCCACUUUCAAUUUUAAAAGACUAAUUUGAACAAGCACGUUUUAGACACCGUUCCUCUAUCGUUCCGGAUCAGCAACCGAAUGACCUGGUUUUUGGUUAUAUCUCUUCCCAUUUGAAAUAAAUUCACUCUAAGAAGAAAAGUCUGAAUCAAAAUCCUUCUCUUAAGCUUCCUGGUGGAGGGGGGGUGGCGUCUCGUCGAUCGGAGGCUGGGCCAGGUCGGGUGGCCGCGAGGAUGGGUAUCCGGGCGCUCUGGGCGCGUUUAGCCCCGGACAGUAAGGCACGUGGACUUUUCCAUAGUGCUUUAUAUGCAAUGUAAAUGGUUUUUAUCUACGUCCCUCGGAUACUGUUCGUUAAAAUAGAAUCAUGGUAAACUGUGGUAAUAAAUUAGAGUGCCUGGCUGUCCGCCCUGGGGUCGCUUGCCAGGUCGCUGACUUUGGUUUGCGGGUUCUACUCCCUCUUCAUUUGGUCGUUAGAUAUGUUCAUUGAAACUUCCCCCAAAUAAAUCCUUGACGUCCUCGCGACUUUUUUAAACGACUUCUUCGAUAAUUUGUUAAAACAAACCGGUUUAAGCCUUGACAAUAAAUUAUAUUCCGUGGUAUUCGCUUAUAACGUUCUUCACGGGACGUAGGGAAGUUCAGAUAAAGGGUACAUAUUUUAUAAAUGGUUCACUUGAUGUAGAAACAGACUUGCAAUUAGAAAGAUUUUCGUUUGUUAAUAUUUGUUUUAUACAAUCAUUAUUAAUUUUUGAUUUAUUUGUACAAUAUGUAAAGUUAUUAAUUUCUAUGCAUAUAGCAGUGAAUAAAUCAUCCUUCGCCUUGAGUAUUAAGGGUGGAUAAGUGUAUAUUGUAGUUGCUCGGGAGUUUUUAAGAACGGUAUAGGAUAGCAGGAAACAGGCAUCAAAGGUUUGGCUUUGUCGGGGAAUAUUAAUAAAAUAGUAAAUAUUAUUAUCAACAAAAGAGCAAUGAACUUUAGUUAGUUGCCAAAGCGUUCUAAGAUCAGGUGAUAUAAACGUAAUUUUUUUUUUAGUUUCUUUUAGAGACUCAAGAUCAUCGUAUGUUAAAACAGAAGUAUGUAGCAUUUUUAAUUUGCAAACUUUCUCGGUCUUUUAACGAGGUUAGGAUGUAUUUUAAAUUGGUUUUUUUUUGUGUAAUGUGGCUGUUUUGUACUAUUCGAAUACUUUGCCUUUUUAUAUUUCGGUUUGCUAAGUUUAAACUAACUAAGUAAGUCUUUUACGUAAUCUAGUUCCGUUUUUAUCUGUUCUAAAUUGAUUAAAUGAAUUAAUGUGUAAUAUUUGUGUUAUAUGUGUGCUAUCAACGAGAGUCUUAGUGCUUGGAUUAGAGGUUAUUUUUUUCGUGUUUUAUGAUUACGUUUUCUGUGGUCAAUUACCAUUCCAACUUUUUUCUUUCUUGAAGCAUCCGUGUUCUUAAGAACUACCCAAAUCGGCCUAUUGAAAGGCGAAUUGGAAUGUCGGAUUAUUUUAUUUUCAAGCAAUUUGUCAAUUUCUACUUUAAUAUCCUUACGGUACACUUGGGGGUACCUAUAAUUUCUAGAAUACACUGGUUUGUCAUCAGUGGUUAACAUUUUAUGCUUUAGUAUGUAGAACUUAGUCUAUCGUUUUCUCUUUUUAUUAUUCAGGGCAUUCCUUUAAUAAUUUUAUUAUUUUAAAUUUUUCUUCGGAGUUCAUAUGCUCCGUUCUAAUUAGCUCGGGUAUUUUCCCUUAUUUCUUCCGAAGCCACAGCUUUCGACCUUUCGGGGCAAUUGGCCUCUAAUGAGUCGGCAUAGCUCGUAGGGGUGCUUAUUUUGUCGAUGUCCAUAGGAUCGGGGCAAAUGGCCAUUACCUGCUUGGAUUCUUCUUGUCUUCGACAUUUAUAUUUUUUCUUACCUUUUUAAAAUAUUUAUUAUUUACUUCUGGUGGCUCGAAAGAGAAUCUCAAUGGAAUCGUGCCACCGUCAUAAGAAAGAAUUUUAUUGUUAAGGUCUAUUUUUACGCCUAGCUUCUGCAUGGUUUUAUAUCUUAACAAAACUUGGUAUUUAUCUGAAAAUGGGAAGAGAUGAAAUUUCGCAAUAUCUGGCUUUUUGAAAAUGUUUGAAAGAUCCAAAUUGCAAGAUUGUUCUCCGUUUUUCUUUCCUGUGGGAGUUGAAAUUAUAAAAGGGUCAUUGUUUAGAAUUAUGUUUUCGGGUACAGCGUGAGGGGUAAUAUAAUUUUCUGACGAUCCAGUGUCGAUUAACCAUUUGAAUCCGAACCGAUCAACAAAAUGUGGUAGGGACUGAGAGAUGGAGUUUAUUUGAUAUUCGGGGGGCUGCCUUUCGAUUCUUUGCAGUUCUAAAAAAUGGUCAAAUUUUUUUGUCAAUGUGUGGAUGCUGUGUUCUAAUCUGCCAAUUCUGUCUCUCGAAAUAUAGUUUGUUUUUGCUUUUACGCAGUGUGUUAAUUCGUACGGGGACCUCAACUCUGAUAUUCGAGGUUUUCCCACCGAUCGCAUAGAAACUGUGUUCUGAGAGUCGCGUUUAAUGAAUGGUCUUGGCCUAUUAAAAGGGUGAUUAGGAUCGUUACAAUUUUCUGGUUUUUUGAAGUGUUGACCAUGAUAAUUAUUGGAGUGGAAUUCUGUUGUCAAACGUAGUGUUAAUGUAUUUGGAUUGAUUGUUGUUGUGGUGAAAAUGUUUAGGACCAUUAGAGAAAGCUUGUACGUUUGAGAGUAACAAAGAACAUUUGUUAUACAUUGUGCUUCUUACAUCAUCCAAAGACUCGGGAUUAAAAAUCAUAAUAUGGUUGCUUAUGGCAGAGGGUAAACAUUUGUAUACUACUACUACUAUACGUCUUUAUUGUUUAAUACAAAGUUUACAGAUCGGCAUUAUAUAUU